rnacentral:rRNA from 1 species
AUACAACUUUCAGCAACGGAUCUCUUGGCUCUCGCAUCGAUGAAGAACGCAGCGAAAUGCGAUAAGUAAUGUGAAUUGCAGAAUUCAGUGAAUCRUCGAAUCUUUGAACGCACCUUGCGCCCUUUGGCCAUUCCGAAGGGCAUGCCYGUUUGAGUAUC